AAUGAACGCUGGCGGCAUGCCUAACACAUGCAAGUCGAACGAAGGCUUCGGCCUUAGUGGCGCACGGGUGCGUAACGCGUGGGAAUCUGCCCUUGGGUUCGGAAUAACAGUUAGAAAUGACUGCUAAUACCGGAUGAUGUCGUAAGACCAAAGAUUUAUCGCGCAAGGAUGAGCCCGCGUAGGAUUAGCUAGUUGGGGGGGUAAAGGCCCACCAAGGCGACGAUCCUUAGCUGGUCUGAGAGGAUGAUCAGCCACACUGGGACUGAGACACGGCCCAGACUCCUACGGGGGGCAGCAGUGGGGAAUAUUGGACAAUGGGCGAAAGCCGGAUCCAGCAAUGCCGCGUGAGUGAUGAAGGCCUUAGGGUUGUAAAGCUCUUUUACCCGGGAUGAUAAUGACAGUACCGGGAGAAUAAGCUCCGGCUAACUUCGUGCCAGCCGCCGCAGUAA
rnacentral:rRNA from 1 species